rnacentral:lncRNA from 1 species
UGCAGUUGUGUUCCUUCGAUCCAUAAUUUUUAGUCUGUUGGAAUAUUUCAGAAAGACAAUGCUAUCUUAAAAUAUAACUACUGAUUCCUUGAACAUGAUAUGCUGACUCCUCCUUCAGAAACUUCCAAGUAAGUCUAGGGUGGUAAUGUCUGUGGCAAAAGGCAGUCUCCUCCAAAGACUGGCAGAAUGUGAUCAUUCUUUUUACCCACUCAGACUUUAUUUUAACAUCAGGACUGUUAUACUGAUGACGACUUAGAAAAUAUUCUUCAAUUUGUUAGAAUAAAAAAAGAUAAAGCUCAGUAUCAUCUAAAAGAGGAAGAAGGUUACAGCCACACUAUCAGGAAGCAACCCUGACUUUUCGAAGAGAAGCUCUGGUGUGUUAAUACACUAAUAUGUUUGGAUGAAGACACUGGGACCUCAGGGUAAGUGAACUUUUACCCUGAGACCUCAAAACUUCAGAGUUG